rnacentral:pre_miRNA from 1 species
CCGUGAACUCCGCUUGCUCAGACGGUUGUUCGAUGUUUUCUGUCAUCACAACCUCCUUGAGUAAGUCGAGCUAUCGUAC